rnacentral:lncRNA from 1 species
AAUUGGAGCGAGCGAGGGAAGGCAGGGCGGUGGAGAAGGCAGGGCGGUGGAAGAAGUGGUGGUGGAGACGGCAAGAGAGAGAGAGAGAGAGCUUGGCGGUGGAAGAGCUUGGGACGAGAUAGCAAAGAUUGUCGGCGUUUUGGGGUGGAUUGGCGAUGAGGCCGCGGAGGUCGGCGUCGGAGUGGGCGACUGUGAGUGCGAUAGAGUCUUUGCCGGCGACGUAGCAUGGUGGAGGUGAGGGGGAAGAUGAUGGUGGCUGCUAGAGGUAGAAAGUGGUUGAGGGGCGGAGGGAGAGAGAAAGCUUGGCGAUCAAAACGCAGCGUUUUGCUCGCCGGCCGGAAACUUAUGCCGGCAAGCCACGUUAAUGACACGUAGGAUCAAAGCGUGUGCCGACAAGCCACGACAAAAAGGAGUGCUAAAAUUGAACACGGAGCAAAGGUAGUCA